GACGAACGCUAGCGGCGUGCUUAACACAUGCAAGUCGAACGGUAAGGCUCCAGCUUGCUGGGGUACACGAGUGGCGAACGGGUGAGUAACACGUGGGUGACCUGCCCUGCACUUCGGGAUAAGCCUGGGAAACUGGGUCUAAUACCGGAUAGGACCGCACCGUGAGGGUGUGGUGGAAAGUUUUUUCGGUGUGGGAUGGGCCCGCGGCCUAUCAGCUUGUUGGUGGGGUAAUGGCCUACCAAGGCGGCGACGGGUAGCCGGCCUGAGAGGGUGGACGGCCACAUUGGGACUGAGACACGGCCCAGACUCCUACGGGAGGCAGCAGUGGGGAAUAUUGCACAAUGGGCGGAAGCCUGAUGCAGCGACGCCGCGUGGGGGAUGACGGCCUUCGGGUUGUAAACUCCUUUCACCAUCGACGAAGGGUUUCUGACGGUAGAUGGAGAAGAAGCACCGGCUAACUACGUGCCAGCAGCCGCGGUAAUACGUAGGGUGCGAGCGUUGUCCGGAAUUACUGGGCGUAAAGAGCUCGUAGGUGGUUUGUCGCGUCGUCUGUGAAAUUCCGGGGCUUAACUCCGGGCGUGCAGGCGAUACGGGCAUAACUUGAGUACUGUAGGGGAGACUGGAAUUCCUGGUGUAGCGGUGAAAUGCGCAGAUAUCAGGAGGAACACCGGUGGCGAAGGCGGGUCUCUGGGCAGUAACUGACGCUGAGGAGCGAAAGCAUGGGGAGCGAACAGGAUUAGAUACCCUGGUAGUCCAUGCCGUAAACGGUGGGCGCUAGGUGUGGGUUUCCUUCCACGGGAUCCGUGCCGUAGCUAACGCAUUAAGCGCCCCGCCUGGGGAGUACGGCCGCAAGGCUAAAACUCAAAGGAAUUGACGGGGGCCCGCACAAGCGGCGGAGCAUGUGGAUUAAUUCGAUGCAACGCGAAGAACCUUACCUGGGCUUGACAUAUACAGGAUCGCGCCAGAGAUGGUGUUUCCCUUGUGGCUUGUAUACAGGUGGUGCAUGGUUGUCGUCAGCUCGUGUCGUGAGAUGUUGGGUUAAGUCCCGCAACGAGCGCAACCCUUGUCUUAUGUUGCCAGCACGUUGUGGUGGGGACUCGUAAGAAACUGCCGGGGUUAACUCGGAGGAAGGUGGGGAUGACGUCAAAUCAUCAUGCCCCUUAUGUCCAGGGCUUCACACAUGCUACAAUGGUCGGUACAGUGGGUUGCCAGUCCGUGAGGGCGAGCUAAUCCCGCAAAGCCGGUCUCAGUUCGGAUCGGGGUCUGCAACUCGACCCCGUGAAGUCGGAGUCGCUAGUAAUCGCAGAUCAGCAACGCUGCGGUGAAUACGAUCCCGGGCCU
rnacentral:rRNA from 1 species